CACACAUAUUUCCAGGUCUCCAACAUACCCUUGUUGUGGUAAUCAUUGUUGCCUCUGUUACCUCUGCAAAUUACAGAAGAGACCGAGAGCGAUUUCAGAAUGUUGCCCGUUCUAAUCCCAGCUGUUGUUCGGGUGUGCUUGUAUUAACCGCCUGACGUGUCGAUUGAUGGGUUCGCUUUUUGGGCAAAUAAAUCUCUAUCAAUAUAUCAUAAUUUCGUUCUUGUUUUUUGCCUCCCCGAUUCGUUUUCUUCCAUCCUGUGUGUUCGGCCUACUGCGCUCAUACGCCGGAGGCGACGUCGGGAUGAAUUUGUGAAUAAAACUUGGGUUUUGGAGUGGUACCGCAUCGUUAUUUCAAAGGCCAAGCGAAGAGAACCAUAUCCGAUGCUGUGAUUUUUACAUUCCUCCAUGAAUAAUAUCCGGCUCGGGGUCGUUUUCGUUGUCAUUUCCCCCCAAAUACACCCUAGGGUGGCUUGUUUGCAGCAACACAUUUCGUCAAUGUCUCCCCAUUGCCAGUCUAUGACAUAGAUCCUAACCAGGAAACAAGGCGUCUUUAAUAUCUAUCUACAGAUCUAUAUGAAAUGACGAACAUGAAUAAAAAACCAAAAAAAAUAAAAUAAAAUAAAAUAACCCUCCAGAAUGACAACCAAAGAGGUGCAGGUUAGCAAACCAAAAAACCAACACGGCAUCAUCGAAGUCUCGUUCGUCCUUUCACAAUGAUGUCUCGAGGUCAAAAGCUAUGCCAACAGCAAAUCAUUUUCUUUUUCACAAAGAAAAUACGAAGAGUAGGGAGAGACAUAAUGCUCUUUCACGUCUUCGUUUUUCUCUCUCUCAUUUUGCGUCUACUCCCCUUUAAUAGUCUCUGUGGAAGAUGACGUGUCUGAUAGAGUUGAAGAUACAUGCCUAGGUACGGUACAUAUGUAUACGUCCGUUCUUUUUUCAUAUAAUUUUCGCUGAUUGUGUUGAAGUGAAUAGAUCUGCAUUGCCGCUUUUUUAUCCUUUGUUUUUUGCCUCUUCGUCCAAAAGCACUGUUGUAUUCUCGAAAAGGCUCCCUUGCGAACUUUUCCUUUGGGAGUCCUGCAGUAACUAUAACAUGAAUUAAUUAUAUAUCACCUGCCAGUAAACCUGGAAGCAGGUGCUGCUGUAUCAGCACUGUAUGCUCCCUUUGUUUGUACCCCAGCAUAUCUCCGAGCCGUCAUACAGAAGUGGUGGCAGCCAGUAAAAGGAUAAUAAAACUCCAAGCCCGUUGCAUUCUCACUGUCUAGCGUUUCUUCGUUCGGCUGCCAUUGAAUUGUAACUGUGGUUAUUUUUGUUAGAAGGGCACCGGUUCCAUUCCAGGGAGCACAAAUGCAAAGGCCACAGUGCUUGAGCUUCUACCUUUCAAUUAGCUUUCUUUUCUCCUCUCGGCUGAAAAAGGGACACGAGAGACCCAAACCCUUCUGGUA
rnacentral:sRNA from 1 species